UACGAAGGGGGCGAGCGUUAUUCGGAAUGAUUGGGUGUAAAGGGCGUGUAGGCGGUAAUGUAAGUUUUUUGUUUAAUUCUUUGGCCUAACCAAAGGUAUGCAGAAAAUACUAUUUUACUAGAGUAUAAUAGAGGAAGAUGGAAUUCUCGGAGUAGCGGUUAAAUGCGUAGAUCUCGAGAGGAACGCUAAUGGCGAAGGCAGUCUUCUGGGUUAUAACUGACGCUGAGGCGCGAAGGCAUGGGUAGCGAACGGG
rnacentral:rRNA from 1 species